CCAUAAGGAGCUAUUAAGCAAUCAUCUCUCUCAGAAGGGGCUUCUGAUUUCGGGCACAGCCGUCAGCAGCUGUGUGCUUCUCAUGCUGCUUCUGCCUUACCUUUGUCCUGCUUCUGAGGAGAGUGGGGACAGUGCUUCAAGUGCUUCAGAAUGAAACAUUUAAUCCUACUGCUGAGUGCUUUCCUGCAACACCUCUGUGAAGUUGUGAAAUAGCAGCCUUGAUAAGAACUACAGAACAAAGCUGAGAGUUGCUGGUCAGGGCUGGUAUGAGACCUAUGGCCAUGGAACUGACCCAUCACCAAGCUCCAACCUGAAUGUCCCCAGGUGAUCCACAGACACCAACUUCUAACCAGACAAACUGCAUGAUUUCAAGAGUGCGUUUUUGGAACUACCAGAAGGAUCAGUGUCAUUAGGCAACACAGCUACAAAUGCUGUCACUUAACCCAACUUGAAUGAAUGAAGAUCAUGCUCAAGGGAUAUAAAGAACACAGCCUCAUCUCUUUGGGAUGACUGCACAGGGAAGAUUCUCGCUCCAGAAAAGAGCCCAGGACUAUGAGAAGACACAGCUGUCCAUCCCAGGGCUUUCCCUCUGCUUCCAGCUGACAUGACUUGGAGCCUCUGGGUCUUCGUCUGGGAGUUGGGAGAACCACACAGCCCUCCCAGACUACCUGCCUACCAGGUUGCUGUGAGACUCCAGUGAGGGGAAGAGAGUGCUGAUGAGUCAGAGGCUCCAUGACGCCCUGCCUUGCCAUCAAUUGGCCCUGGAGAAGAGACUGUUGUGAUCCCCUGAAAUUCUUAUGAUUCUAUCAGGCAACGGUCACAGAACUAUUCCCACUCAAGCUCCAGCUGUCCUUACGCACAGCACUCAAGGGAUUCCCUAGUCAGAGACUAGGUCACCAGCCACAUGCCAGGGUGAGCCGGGGAGAAGAAGCAGAGUGGGUGAUGGGGCAGGCAAGAGGACAGACUUGCCAUGACUUCCUUUUGCCCAGUGUGGCAGACAGCAAGGUCCAGAUCUACUCCAGAGGCACAUUGUCCACAGAGGAGUCAUUUAGGCAACCUCACUGCAGGGGACCCUCACCCUCAGCUGAUGCUAUAGGCCCAAGGUUCCAGGGUGACAUGGCUUGAUGACAGUCACAGAAGCUGUCAUGCCCUGCCUCUCUGCGACUUCACCCUCAAAUCCUGCUCCUUCUCAGUGAUGGAGAAUUUGGGUGUUUCCCCUAUUCAGCAGAAUUACAGAGCUCUGUCAGAGGACUGCAUAGUGUUACUUCUAGAAACUAUUUUCACUAAAUUAUAUUUCAUGUGUGUUAGGAUUAUGUUGAAGGUGAGAAUAGAAACUGUUUCCACUUGCACAUCACUGUUUCAGAAAACACGUGUCUCGCCUCAGGAACUUCCCCUCAAAACCAUUUGAAUGAACUCAUGACUGUUUAACUUUUCAAUAAUUAACAUCAAACAACUAUUUCCUUUCCAACACUCUUUGACACCUUCCCUAAAAACCCUUGCUUUGCUGAGCAUGAUGGUGCACUCCCAUAAUCUCAGCGGUUCGGCAGGCAAACACAGGAAGAUUGAGAGUUUAAAGACAGCCUCAGCAAAAGUGAGGAACUAAGCAACUCAGUAUGACCCUGCCUCUAAAUAAAAAAAUAUAUAUAUACAAAAUAGGGCUGGGGAUGUGGCUCAGUGGUUGAGUGCCCCUAAAGUUCGAUCCCUGGUCCAAAACAAAACAAAACAAAACAAAACAAAACCUUUGCUUUCCUGUGUCCAUCAACCUUUCAGGAUUAUGCUGUGAUCCUUACCCAAUUCUAAUCAUGCUCCUGUAAGACAGACCCACUUUUAACUAGACCCCCAAACCUUAAAGCCUCUUCCCUUUGAGGUGUUAACAAGACUUUGCCCAGGAAGUGAUCUUCCUUCUUGGCAUGAGUAAGCAACUUCAUUUUGCGCUUUCAAUAAGUGUUUUUGAAUAGUCAACAUUUGAAAAAGGAUAGGCUGAGAAAUGGCAUCUAUUUUCUGGGCCGACUAGGAGAGUCAUCACCUUGCCAGGAAGACUUAUUUUUCUUCUAAUCCUUUGUUUUCUCUUCGCCUUUACCUAACUCAUGGAAUUUCGUGUUCUUGUUCACCAUCUUCAACCCCCAGGGAAGGAGGAAGGGUACUGCUGUUACUGCUCGCAGCAUCCCACCCUCGUCCCUGGGCUACAAGUCCCACCUAUUACCAGUUCCUGGACUCCACACUUGUGCCUGAGGGCUCUCCUGUCCACCCUGUCCUGACUAGGAAAUGCAUAGUCAGUGCCUCAUAAUUAGCACAUCCACAGCUCUGGUGUUCCACCAAGACUCAGGAAAUAGUAUAUAAAAUCACAGUGCCCUCAUCCCUCUGUGGAACAGCUUUUCAGACCUGUGUUUUCCAUCUUUUGGAGUUUCCCCUCAGGAUUGUUACUGGCUUAUGGUAGUGGCUGACUUCAUAGUCACCACUUCCUGGCUUCUUUUCUUUACCUGUGUCCCUUCCCUACUUCGCUACAAGUAUUCCCCAAGUGGUUUACUUGAAUCUCUGUCUCAAGGUCUACUUCUGGAAGAAUCCAAACUCAAAGGGAUAUAAAUAAGCAGAAAGGCAUGGAAACCAGUCAGAUGUCUUACAUAUUACAAAUGUUCAAAUAAAUGUUUGUUGCGCUGAGGGGAGAAUGAUGCAAAGUGACUUUACAAUGCACAGCGCAGAACUGAGCACAUAGCCGGUGUCCGAUAAUAAAUGCUUGGGGAGGAGAGGAAAAGCCUAAUGUAGAGCAGGCUGGAUGAUAUCCCAGUGGAUCUGAUACAGAGGGAAGGUAAAGAACCAUUGGCCUUUGGGCAUCCUUCUGGAAUUAGAGUUCUGUGAGUUCACCUGGCUGUAGUGGAGAUGGGGAAACUUCUGGGGGCAAAAGCCUCACUGGGGGUAUCCAGUUAGCCUCUCUCCUCUUCCCAUUGAAUUUUCUUUGAUCACACAAAAUUCAUUUUAAACACCAUGAUGGAGAAAUAAUUUAUAUAUCUGAUUAUUUACCAUUUUAAAGUGCAAGAAGAGUUGCACAACCAUCAUCACUAAUUCUAGAAUAUUCUCCCCCCUCCUCCACAAAAACCUGCAUCCAUUUAACAGUCUCUCCUCAUUCAUGACUCCCUCAGCUGCUGGCAAACACUAAUCUACUUUCUGUUUCUACACAUUUGCCUGUUUUGAGCAUUUCAUCAUUUUAUAAAUGGAGUCAUAAACUAUGUGGUCUUCCUUGACUGGAUUCUUUUACUUGGCACAUAUUUUCAAGGUUCAUCUAUGUUGUAGCAUGAAUCAGUACUCCAUUUCUUUUUAUUGCCAAAUAAUAUCCCAUAUGGAUAUUCCAGAUUUUGUUUAUCCAUUAGUCAGUUGGUGGGUGUUUGGAUUCUUUCCCCUUUCCGGCUAUUAUGAAUAUUCAUGCGAGAGUUUUUGGGUGGACCUAUGUCUUCAUUCCUAGUAUAUACCUAGGAGUAGAAUUGCAGGACAUAUUAUAGCUCUAUGUUGACCAUUUUGUGGAACUGCCACAUUGUUUUCCAGAGUAGCUGCACCAUUUCACAUUCCUGCCAAUGAUGUAGGAGGGUUCCAAGUUCUCCACAUCCUAACACUUGCUAUUGUCUUUCUUUUUUUUUAUUAUUAUUAUUAUAGCCACCCUAUAGUGUGAAGUGGCAUUUUAGUGUUUUUUUAAAUUUACAUUUUCCUCGUGACUAAUGACAGUGAGCAUCUUUUCAUAUGAUCAUUAAACAUUUUUAUAACUUCUUUGGAGAAUUCUCUUCGAAUCCUUUGCUCAUUUUUUAAAAUUGGGCUAUUUGCCUUUUUUAUUGUUGAGUUGUAAGAGUUCUGGAUACUGAACCCUUACCAGGUAAGAUGAUCUGUAGAUAUUUUCUGUGCAGUAGUUUUCACUUUCUUCAUAGAGUCCUUUAGAGCACAAAAUUGUUCAAUUUUGAUGAAGUCCAACUUGGCUAUUUCUUGUCCUUUCUUUGUGCUUUUGGUGUCAUAACUAAGAAACCAUUACCAAAAGGUCAUAAAGGAUAAGAUCUAUGUUUUUUUCUAAGAGUUUUUUUAGUGUUAACUCUUUAUGUCCAGAUCUUUGGUCCAUUUCAAGUUAAAUUUUGUAGAUGGUGUGAGGUGGGAUCCAUCUUCAUUCUUCUCACAUGGCUAUCAUCUUUUCCAGCACCAUUUGUUAAAAACAUCAUUCUUCCCCUCACUGGAUUGUUGUGGUGCUCUUGUCAAAAUCAAUUGACCAUAAAGAUGAAGUUUAUUUCUGUACUCUUAAUUCUAUUCCAUGGAUCUAUGAAUCUUUCCUUAGGAAAGGAAAGAUACAUAAAUCCAUGGAAUACCACACUGUCUCGAUUACUGUAUUUUUGCAAUAAAUUUUUAAAUUUGGAAGCAGGUGUAAAGUCCUCUAAACUUGUUCUUUUUCAAGAUGGCUUUAGCAUUAGCUAUUCUGAGUUCUUUGCAUUUCCAUAAGAAUUUAGGUGUCACUUUGUUAAUUUCUGAAAAAAAAAGUUCAGAUUUUUAUAAGGAUUUAAAAAUUUUUUUUUGUAGUUUUAGGUGGACAGAAUGCCUUUAUUUUAUUUGUUUAUUUUUACAUGGUGCCUCACACAUGCUAGGCAAGCACUCUGCCACUGAGCUACACCCCAAUCCAUUGAUAAGGAUUUUGUUGAAUGUUUAGAUCAAAAUUUAUAGAGUGUGACCAUCCUUUUUAAAAACAUCAUUUUAUUGUUGUUGUUUAUUUCUUAUGUGGUGAUGAGGAUUGAACCCAGGUCCUCAAACAUGGUAGGCAGGUGAUUUAUCACUGAACUACAACCCCAGCCCUAGAAUGUGAUCAUCUUAACAAAUAAAGUUAUUUAGUCUGUAAACAUGAGAUUUUAUUUGCAUGUAUUUAGGUCUUUCAUUUUUCUUCAACAAUAUUUCGUAAUUGGCAAUGUACAAGUCUACACUUCUUUUGUUAAAUUUAUUUCUAAGUAUUUCAUGCUUUUUGAUGCUAUUAUAAAUUGAAUUGUUUCUUACCUUCACUUUUUGAUUGUUCAUUAUCAACUUAUAGAAAUAUAAUUGAUUUUUGUAUGAUACCACAAAAUUUUAAAAUCUAUGCGUUUUUCCUUCAAAAUCAAUGAUUAUUUUUAAAGAUACUUUCUGUACUUUAAGAUAAGAGAUUAUUUGAGGCCUGCCAUAGAGCACUGAAAGCUUAUUGCUGUCCUUGAGAUUAAACAGAAAAAAUCUUGGGGUGAUGUGAAGUAUGUGGUCCCUUAGUCCUAGGAUGAAGUAGAAUAGCAGAAAGUCCUGAACUUUCAAACUGCUUCAGAUGUCCUUGAGCACAGAACACAGAUAUGGAAGUAGUACAAAUUUACAAAAUGAAAGAUUAAUCUCAAAGGCUGGUAUACUACAAUGAUUGCUGGAGAUAUACAUUUUGAAAAAAAAAACACAUAAAAACUCUCCCAGGAAAAAUGGGAGUAUGUGGUUCACUACCAACUUGGGGUGUUGGUUAUGACAUUUUGACUUUGAAUGGACCAUGGGAUCAUGCAGCCUGUGCAUCUGAAUGUCGAGAUAAGAAAACAGAGUCCAGAAAAGUACAGUGACCCAUGGUGCUAUAGAGGAGCAAAAGCAAAGGAUUUGGGAAGAAAUUACCUAAGUCCUUAGAAUUGUGAGACUUCUAGAAAGGUUGCUUGGCUCCCAUCAUCCUUAGAUAGUCAUUUGUUAAAGUGGAAAGUGGGGACUACCUUGCAGGUUGGUUACAAAGAAUUGAUAUCCAGCCAGUUGAAUGUUUCCCAGGUGCCACGUGUCAGGCACUGCUCUGGAUGCUGAGGACAGAGUAGAGAGUAGAGUCCAUGACCACAAGAAGAGUAGGUUCACAGUGAGGAUUAAAUGAGAUAGAUUAAUAAUAACGUGCCAGGCUUAGCAUUGUUUCUUUGGCUCAUUGUAUAUGCUCUUUGUAAGAUCAGGUUACAUUUCCCCAAAGCAGACCCUCACUGUAUUCAGUUUUGGAUCCUGAAUGCCACACUCAAUGCCUGACACUAGGUAGUCUCUUGAAUAUUAUUGAACUAAACAAAUCUUCUUCUCACCCGGAGUCGAAAGAGGACUUGAAACACCUGAGGGAAGCACUGGGCUGAUGGAGUGAGGAAGCAGAGCAUCUCAGGAGGAGGAGGUGACCAGCACAAAGGUCAUGAGACCAGCUCCUGAUCCAAAGGAAGAGAGAACAUGCAUGGAGAAGAGACAUUCAAGUUUGGAAUCAGAUUUCCCAAGCCCCUAAGGUUCUGUCACUUCCCAGAAUACCCGCGGCAGGAUUCCCCAUGGAUGGUGAUCUCAUUUCCAGAGAAGUUCUCCUUUGUAAAUGUUAUUACAGAAUCGCCCAGUGGUCCAGGCAAUGGUACCAGCCUGCCUGACAUAGGAGGGUGAAUGGAUGAGUAGAUUUCACCACAUAUUAAUAUCUUUCAAACAAGAGAACCUUGGCCUAGAGAGGUGAAAUCAUUUGCAAAGCUGAUUGAUGCCUACCUAGUUCAUGCCUCUAUUCAUCACAACAUAAAGUGAACCUUAUAUCCAUGACCUUCACAGACAAAAGGCAAAUUAGGGUGUCCACUUUCUUGAAGACCUUCUGUGUAUCUCUCUGGAUUAAAAAAAAAAAAAAGGUGACAUUGGAAGUUGAUCUGUGUUGAACAGGGAGGUCAAGGACAAAAGGGUGCCUCAUUAACUGUGAGCUAGAGCUAACCCUUGACCUAGUUCUGAAGUUGAUCAGUCUUGUCUUUGGCCCUAGAGUCCUCUUUCUGGGUUCUUGGCUCUUCUCCAGGUCACUACCUCUCUGCCCCAUAUACUCCCCCCUCUCCACUCUGCUUUUAGGAAACAGGCUUCAGCCUGCUAGAAAUUUAAGUCAUUUCAUGGGGUAUGCAUGUUAAUUCGGGUUUCAAUGAAGAAUUUGUCCUCAUCAAAGAAACUUUAGGCCCAGCCAGGAAAUAGACAGGAAUCGGGGCAGGGUAUCGAGGGAGGACUUGUCAUUGGGAAAUGUGAUAUUCUUAAUAGGGAGGCAAUCACUCUAAGCUGACUUGCACCCUGAGAAUUGUAUCCAGGCUGUUCUGCGUGUCAGGGCUCAGUGCUGCUGUUCAAAAAAGAUGUUUUGGUGAUGAAAUAAGAGCUCGCAUAUCUGUUUCAGGAGCUGACUGCAUUCCGGCAAGGCUCCUGACUUGAGCAGGCUGAGUCAGGGAUGAGCCUAAUUGUUAGAUAAAGCCAGAGAGUUGCAGGUUUCUCAAGACUUUGUAUGCUGAUACUGUGUGGGAGUAUUUCUCUUUCCUUAAAUGGAUCAUUAGAAAGGAUUGGAUGCAAAUCAAGAAUUCAAUCUCUAACCAAACAAAUUUCCACCCACACAGAUAACUCGACCCAUUUUAGUACAGCCAACUUGUAACAAAAAAAAGAUUUUCUCCCUCUCUGAGGAUGACUUUUUUUUCUAUGGAAAGAGAUGAGAUUCUAGAGGGGUCCUUUAAAGGUCCCGUCUGGACUCCUGUAAUCUAACAUGUCACAGUUAAAAGGCAAAACCUCUGAACCAUGUGCUCUCAUUUGCUGUUCAUGUUGCGCCUGGGAUCAAGACCUGCUGACAGCUGCACACUCCUCCAGGAGACAUGGAGCAGGUUAUGACUGAGGGCCCUUAGCCCAGGGUCUAUAAGACCCCUGCUCUGAUCAGGAGGUCAAGGGCAGAGGGUACCUCAGUAACUGAACCCGAGUUGACCCUUGACCCAGUUCUAUAGUGGGCCAUUCUUGCUUUUGUCCCCAGGUUCCCAUUUCUAUGUCCUUUGCUCUUCUCCAAGUCACUACCGCCCUGCCCCAUGCUCUCUUCUCUCUUCUCGCUCUGCUUUCAAGAAACGGUUAAGACAGGUUUCAGCCUGGUAGGAAUUUAAGUCAUUUCGUGGGUUACGCAUGUUAAUCAGACAGACAAGUGUGACAUCAGAUUCUGCCCCAAGAAGCUUGGACAAGAUCUUGAACAAGACACUUAAACCUCCUGAGCCUUGGAAUCUUCUGGAUCUAAAAAACAGGGCUGCUAAGGCCCCCCUCCCAGCUCUGCUGCGAAGAUCACUUAGGAUGCCUGUGUCAAGCACCCGCACAUGGCUAUCACUCUGUUGUCAGCUGGUAGUUAUAUAAAGAGCUUUUUCUAGGCCUGCUUUUCUCUUUUCAUUUUUUCUCUUCACAGAAAUUAUCUCCUGAUCAUGCAGAAGACCAUAAUUGUAGACAUUUUGGAAAACAUAGAAAAACAUAAGAAAGAAAAUUAAAAUUGCUUAUGUUCCCAACACUCAGAAAGAACCACUGUGAAUAUAUUGGUAUGCUUUCUCUAAUGUCAUACCACAUAUAUACACGAAUAGCCACCCCGACAUACCUGUAGCUUUGUAGCUGACAAUGUAUAUUGCUUUUUCUUUUUUUAGCUAACAUUAUAUUUUGAGCAUUUUCUCAUAUUAUUAUAAAGUAUUUAAGACACCAUUUUCAGUAGCUAUAAAAUAAUAUUUUUUUCUAUUGUAAGGUCAUUGGACAUAAAUCUUUCUAAUUUUAAUUUCAUAUUAUCUGCUUAUUUCCAGUUUUGCAGUUGGAUUGACUGAUCAAAAUAUGUGAACUUCUUUUAGCAUAGUGAAUUUUCUCAAAUGAGGAAAGAUAUGCAGAAAUGAAAAUAUUACAAAUGUAUAUAUAAUAAAAAGUAAACACAAACUAGCCAAUUCCACAUUUAUUUUUUAUUAAGUAUUCAUACAAAUAUUCAUUCAUCUUUUUCUUUUAUAGAGGGAUAAUAUACAUACAUGACAUGACGAUUCUGGCAAAAAAAGAGAUAAUAAGAAUAUUCUGCAGUUCUAAAAAUGGUAUGGAAUAAGUUUCAACAACAUUCUACAUGAUUGUAAAUCUCUGACUUACUGCUAUUAUUUUUCAUGAUGGAUACAUGGUUUGUUUUAUAAUUUUUAAAAUAGAUACAGGUGUCUUAAUAAAUUGACUUACUAAUAAUUAAGGCACUUUUCAUACGCAGUAUCAGUGUGGACAAAAAUGUUUUAAUAUUGAUUAUUUCUUAAGAAAUUCUAAACUUUCAGAAUCUUUUCUACAACAAAAAUAACUGUACGUGCUUUACUAUUUUCUAAUAAA